rnacentral:rRNA from 1 species
GAUGAACGCUGGCGGCGUGCCUAAUACAUGCAAGUCGAGCGAACAGACGAGAGUGCUUGCACUCUCUGACGUUAGCGGCGGACGGGUGAGGAACACGUUGGUAACCUACCUAUAAGACUGGGAUAACUUCGGGAAACCGGAGCUAAUACCGGAUAAGAUUUAGCUUCGGAGGAAGCAAGAGUGAAAGACGGUUGUGCUGUGACUUAGAGAUGGACCCGCGGUGGAGUAGCUAGGUGGUGAGGUAACGGCUCACCAAGGCAACUAUACAUAGGCGGCCUGAGAGGGUGAUCGGCCACACUGGGACUGAGCCACGGCCCAGACUCCUACGGGAGGCAGCAGUAGGGAAUCUUCCGCAAUGGACGAAAGUCUGCCGGAGCAAUGCCGCGUGAGUGAAGAAGGUUUUCGGAUCGUAAAACUCUGUUGUAAGGGAAGAACAAGUACGUUAGUAACUGAACGUACCUUGACGGUACCUUACCAGAAAGCCACGGCUAACUACGUG